rnacentral:rRNA from 1 species
UAGUCCACGCCGUAAACGAUGGUCACUAGUUGUUGGGGCUUUAUGCCUCAGUGAUUAAGAGAAAUUGAUAAGUGACCCACCUGGGGAGUACGCCGGCAACGGUAAAACUCAAAGGAAUUGACGGGGACCCGCACAAGCGGUGGAGCAUGUGGUUUAAUUCGAUGCAACGCGAAGAACCUUACCUGCCCUUGACAUUGACAGAAUCCUGUAGAGAUACGGGAGUGCUUCGGCCUGGAAAACAGGUGCUGCAUGGCUGUCGUCAGCUCGUGUCGUGAGAUGUUGGGUUAAGUCCCGCAACGAGCGCAACCCUUGUCCUUAGUUGCCAGCACGUAAUGGUGGGAACUCUAGGGAGACUGCCGGUGACAAACCGGGAGGAAGGUGGGGACGACGUCAAGUCAUCAUGGCCCUUAUGGGGCAGGGGCUACACACGUGCUACAAUGGCGAAUACAGA